GGGCGGUGGGGACGGGUUUGAGCGGCGCACAGAGGGGCAGUGGGCGGGUGUUUGUUGUUGCCAUUGAGACCGUUCCGGGAGGAUUCUGUGCUGUUCCUUUUCUCGGUGCCCAGGCUCAUGUCGGCCAAACCCAGGCUCCUGGUUGUUCUCAGCGCUGCUGCUGAAGGUGUAUCUGCACAGUCAUUUUAUCAUUCCUAUACACUAUGUAAUACAGCUUUUAACCUUCAGAUUGCCACUCCCGGGGGGAAGCCGAUGGAUUUUGUGGAGCUGGAUGAGAAUAAUAUACGCUGGAUCCAGGACUUCCGUAUGAAGCCAUACUCAAAUCCGGCUAAGCUGGAGUCGAUUGAUGGUGCAAGGUACAACGCUAUCCUGAUUCCAAAUUGUCCUGGUGCUAUGGUAGAUCUUGCAACCAGUGGAUAUCUGGCCAAGAUUCUCCAGCAUUUCUGUGCUGAGAAAAAACCAAUUUGUGUGGUGGGACAUGGAGUUGCUGCUUUAUGUUGUGCAACUAACCAGGACAAGUCAUGGAUAUUCGAGGGAUACAGCAUCACUGGACCCUCUGUCUUCGAGCUAGUAAGGAGGAAAGAUUUUGCAAGCCUUCCAGUCAUUGUGGAGGAUUUUGUGAAAGACUCGGGAGCCACCUACAGUGCUACUGAGCCUGAUGCUGUACAUGUCGUGAUUGAUAGGCACCUUAUAACUGGACAGAAUGACCAAUCUACUCUUACUGCCAUCCAGAACCUCAUACUUUUCUGUAAUGCAAGGAAAUGAUUGCACUUUAUUUCAUGAUCGUAUUAGGACUCAGCAGUUUGAUGAAGUGGAACCGCCAAAGAGGCAACUCCCCACAACCAAUAAUAAAAGCAGGAAAUCAGCAAACCAUGUCAGACAAAAGCAGACCCUUAGACCCUGAAAAACUACCUCAGUCCCAUUAAAGAGAUGCUGCCAAACCUGCUGAGAUGUGGAGAGGUUGUUUCCAUUGUAGGAGACUCUAGGACCAGAUGUCAUAUUCUCAGAGUAAGGGGUUGGUCAUUUUGGACAAAGAUGAAGAGCAAUUUCUUCUGGGGGUAGUCCGUAUAAAAUUCUUUACUGCAGAGGGAGUGUUGAGGCUGUGUCAUUAAGUAUAUUCAAUAUUGAGAGAUUUUUAAUCAGCAAGGGAAUUGAGAAUAAUGGGGGGAAGACAGGAAAAUGGAAUUGAAGAUUAUCAGGUAAGCCAUGAUCUCACUGAAUACAGAGCUGACUCGUUAGGCUGAAGCAUCUAUUUGUCCUCCUACAUCUUAUGGUCUUUGUUCUAUUAGUCAUCUUAGUAAGGUUAGCUAGUUGUGCUGUGUUUUGCCCCAACAGCCUGUUGUAGAGCAGAUAAAACUGAAUUGCAGAUCCUAUAUUCUUCAUGUUUCUUCAUAAUUGCUAUCAAUGAUAUUGGACUUGGUCCUCUUCCUGAAGUUAAAAAUGGACGUACAUUUGAACAUAACACGGUAAGGCAGAGAGUGAUGGGUACUGCUGCCAGUGGAACCAAGGCUGUAUCAGUGCUUUCAAAAGAGAAUAGUAGUAGUGGUGGUGGAGGAAUUAUUUUAUGGGCUAAACUGGGUGCUAGAGGGUGGUGAAGUUAGACAUUUCUGAGUGCAGUUCAAAGGAGAACACAGCAAGUGCUACCGCUGUCUUGGUGGUACUUUUCUGAUCAGGAUUUCAGUAUAAUAUUGGGUGUAAUUUGGACUAUUUAAUGACACCUUUAUACUCAAUCUCAGUCAGCCAUUCAUUUUAUAUGUGCAAGAUUGUCUUUCAAGAUGUCUCAUUCCUUAAAAAGUGUAUUAGUGAUUCCUUUCACUUGUACAAUAUAGUAAUUUCCAAAAUGCAGCUGGUUGGGUGAACCAAAAUCAGUAUUAUUGAAGUGGGCAGAAAUUUCCUUGCAUUUAUCCCCACAUCAUGUUACUUUUCUGAUAACACAGGAUUUCUUAGGACUUGCAUCAAAAUGAUAGCAGAUCUAAGAAAUUUCUUCCUCAGAGUCAAUUGAUUAUAAUUAAACUAUAUCAAAAUCCAGAAGUGUAAGGAAGCAAAAAUAAAACAGCUAAUUUGACAAAAAUGCAAAAGAAUUUUUGAGUUACCAGCUACUAACAUUUAUCUUACAAAAAUGAUGCAUCUCAGAAAAGGGCUACACAUGUUGAAGUUGAAUUUGAAUAUAGAGUAUUACAGAUAGAAAUCUAGGACGUACAUUGGUCACAUGCCACCAACUUCACUUCUGAUCCUUUCAGUUUUAACAACUGUUCUGUUUUAAGUGGUUAAUUUUUCUAUUACAUUUUAUUGGAUUUUUUUUAACAUUACUUAUAAAGAAAAUUUUGUAAAUAAA